rnacentral:rRNA from 1 species
UACAGAGGGUGCGAGCGUUAAUCGGAAUUACUGGGCGUAAAGGGUGCGUAGGUGGUAGCAUAAGUUAGGUGUGAAAGCCCUAGGCUUAACCAAGGAAUAGCGCAUAAUACUGUGCAACUAGAGUACUGUAGAGGGGAGUGGAAUUUCCGGUGUAGCGGUGAAAUGCGUAGAUAUCGGAAGGAACACCAGUGGCGAAGGCGACUCUCUGGACAGAUACUGACACUGAGGCACGAAAGCGUGGGGAGCAAACAGG